rnacentral:pre_miRNA from 1 species
CCCGGAAUCCUUCCGAUAGCGCGCGCUAAGCAGGAACCGGGACUUGGUCAUUCGCUAGCAGUCAGGUACCUGAAGUAGCGCGCGUGAUCGGAAGUGCCGCC